GGCACUGUGCUACACAGGGCCAAAAAAUCCAACAUCUACUCAGAAGAUUGAGUGAUCUCUGCCUGGUGAUCAAAUAUGUUGUGUUUCUAAGAAGCAGACCCCAGACAAUAGAAGAAGGAGGCUUCUGCUGGCACAAUUUUCUUGCUAACAAGGUUUUCUGAUGUAAAUGAAUGAAAAGCUGUGAAUCCUUCACUCUGCUUUUACAUCCUUUUAAACUCCUGAGUGAUCUAAAUGCAAAUGCAGAUCCAGAUGGAAUGACAAGUGCCCAAACUUCUCUUCAUGAGGCUGCAUCAUGAGAUCAGCAUCAGCAUGAUUACUCUGAGGAAGAACUGUGACUGUGCAGUGAGUGAGCACAAAAGGGAAAGAGCCAUCUGUAAACAUGAAAGGAGAGCAAAUAAAUAGCUGGGCUUCAUCUUUACUGAAAAGCCCUCUAAAUCCAUAGACCUGGGGCUCUGAGCAACCUGUUCCAGUUGCAGGUGUCCCUGCUGACUGCAGAGGAUCACACUGGAUGACCUUGAAAGGUCCUUUCCCACCCAAAGCACUCUGUGCUUCUAUGACAAUAAACUGGAACUGCUGGUUAUGAAAGACCAUGGGAAAAACAAGACUAGCACUAGAGAUUGAUGCACAUUUUACCUCCCCUUCUGUGUUAGUAAGUGAACUCCCCCCCCCAUUUCUCCAGCAUUUGAAGCCUACUGCAAAUGCUGAUGGA